rnacentral:rRNA from 1 species
UUACCAAAAACAUCGCCUCUUGACUAUUAUAAGAGGUCCAGCCUGCCCAGUGACACAACUGUUAAACGGCCGCGGUACUCUGACCGUGCGAAGGUAGCAUAAUCACUUGUUCUUUAAAUGGGGACUAGUAUCAACGGUGCCACGAGGGCUUCCCUGUCUCCUUUUUCCAAUCAGUGAAACUGAUCUCCCUGUGAAGAAGCAGGGAUACUGAUAUAAGACGAGAAGACCCCAUGGAGCUUUAAACUCAACAGACAACCCGACACAUAUUUUUUCAUCUUAGUCAUCAAAAAGCCAUGUUUGUUAGUUUUAGGUUGGGGUGACCAUGGAGUAAAACUUAACCUCCACGACGCAGGGGACUUGCUACUCCCUUAUCCAAGAGCCACGACUCUAGAAUUAAAAUAUUAACGUAAAAUGAUCCAAACAUUUGAUCAACGGACCAAGUUACCCUGGGGAUAACAGCGCAAUCCAUUUCGAGAGCUCCUAUCGACAAGUGGGUUUACGACCUCGAUGUUGGAUCAGGGUAUCCCAGUGGUGCAGCCGCUACUAAUGGUUUGUUUGUUCAACAAUUAAAACCCUACGUGAU